UACGUAGGGUGCGAGCGUUAAUCGGAAUUACUGGGCGUAAAGUGUGCGCAGGCGGCCGCGCAAGUCGAGUGUGAAAGCCCCGGGCUUAACUUGGGAAUUGCGCUCGAAACUACGUGGCUGGAGUGUGGCAGAGGAAGGUGGAAUUCCAGGUGUAGCGGUGAAAUGCGUAGAUAUCUGGAGGAAUACCGGUGGCGAAGGCGGCAUCCUGGACCGACAUUGACGCUGAUGAGCGAAAGCUAGGGGAGCAAACGGG
rnacentral:rRNA from 1 species